rnacentral:lncRNA from 1 species
CCAAAGUCUCCCUGGGUCCAGCCCAAAAUGAGGGAGAGAGGCACACUCUAGAAGGUGCCAUCUAUCAUCAUCUGCCUGACAUGCCUAGGCUAAAGAGAUGUGAGAAGCAGAAUUUCACAAAACACGAGCUACAUCGCCUCAUCUCAUCACUUCCUGACCGGCCAGCGGAAGCCAUGUGCACACAUCUCCAAACACAGGCACCCAGUCAACCUCCUCAGAUGCAAAGGAUCCAUUUUCUUUGAGAAGUGGAAGGAGGAAGUAGAGGUGUGACCAAGGAGGAAGUAGAGUGACAUGUUUUCAGUACUCCAAUGUCAUGUUCUGAGCCGUGUAGUCUCUGUGUAGAAGAAAGCCCAGUGUGCCACAGCAUGGAACCUACAUAGAAGGUAUGGAAAUG